rnacentral:ncRNA from 1 species
CGUCGCGGUGGGGCUCGAUGCCCUCCUCAGGAUUGGGGAAAGUACCUGACCAAUCUCGCAACUGUCCUUGUCACUCCAUCGGGUGACGAGGUGGCAGGCAUGCGAGCGGGCGGGGUACGGUCGCGCCGAGCAGCACCACACAGCAGCACCAGGCACGCCCCGGCAUGCACGUCGCCAGACAUCGGCGCGCGCGUCGGCACAUUCAUCGACAUAGACGUCGGCCCCCGGCGGGAUGGCAGUCCCAACUCCGAGGGCCUAAUCACCAGGAAGAAGAGAGCUUCCCA